UUUCCUACGGGGGGCAGCAGUGGGGAAUAUUGGGCAAUGGGGGCAACCCUGACCCAGCGACGCCGCGUGAGGGAAGACGGCCUUCGGGUUGUAAACCUCUUUUGUACGGGAAGAAGGAAGUGACGGUACUGUACGAAUAAGUCCCGGCUAACUACGUGCCAGCAGCCGCGGUAAUACGUAGGGGACGAGCGUUGUCCGGAAUUACUGGGCGUAAAGGGCGCGCAGGCUGUGCUGCAAGUCAGCUGUGAAAUAUCUGGGCUUAACCUGGAGAUGCGGUUGGGACUGCAGUGCUGGAGGGCUGUAGAGGCAAGUGGAAUUCCCAGUGUAGCGGUGAAAUGCGUAGAUAUUGGGAAGAACACCGGUGGCGAAGGCGACUUGCUGGGCAGCAACUGACGCUGAGGCGCGAAAGCCAGGGGAGCAAACGGGAUUAGAUACCCUAGUAGUC
rnacentral:rRNA from 1 species